GUGGGGAAUAUUGGACAAUGGGCGCAAGCCUGAUCCAGCCAUGCCGCGAGAGUGAUGAAGGCCUUAGGGUUGUAAAGCUCUUUCAGUGGGGACGAUAAUGACGGUACCCACAGAAGAAGCCCCGGCUAACUUCGUGCCAGCAGCCGCGGUAAUACGAAGGGGGCUAGCGUUGUUCGGAUUUACUGGGCGUAACGCGCACGUAGGCGGAUCGUUAAGUCGGGGGUGAAAUCCUGGAGCUCAACUCCAGAACUGCCUUCGAUACUGGCGAUCUUGAGUCCGGAAGAGGUGGGUGGAACUCCUAGUGUAGAGGUGGAAUUCGUAGAUAUUAGGAAGAACACCAGUGGCGAAGGCGGCUCACUGGUCCGGUACUGACGCUGAGGUGCGAAAGCGUGGGGAGCAAACAGGAUUAGAAACCCGGGUAGUCC
rnacentral:rRNA from 1 species